AUUCCAUGAUGGGGACAUUCUAGGAUGUAGUCUUGAAAGCGCUCCCAUGCCUCUGGAACAGAUUCAUCAUUUUGUUGCUGAAAACUUGUAAUCUUCCCACGGAGAGC
rfam:Sorghum bicolor cultivar BTx623 chromosome 2, whole genome shotgun sequence.